GGACAAGUGGUUCUGGAGGACUUCCUGGAGGAGGCGGGGUAGAGAUUUGCAUAGUCAACAAAGGAGGAAGCUUUCAAGAACACUGCUCUCUGAGCAAUUUCCAGCUGGUGGCUUCUAAAGAGAACAUGACACCGCCCGCAUCUGCCUGCCCAGACGCUGAGUUAUCACCGGCGGAAUAAGCCAGAUCCAAGGAGAGCCUCCCCCGUCCACCAGCGCUUUGGGAGAAUGCCCGGGACCUGUGCAGGGGAAUCAGAUUCCCCAGCAGCUGCCUUCAAAGGCCGCAGAUACUCUAAAAAAGACAAAGAUGGAAUUGAAACCCCCGAGAGUCACCUUGCUGGGGAGACACAAAGAGUGAGGAACAGUGGGGAGGUUCGUGGCCCUGAGUCAGCC